rnacentral:rRNA from 1 species
CCUACGGGAGGCAGCAGUGGGGAAUCUUGCGCAAUGGGCGAAAGCCUGACGCAGCCAUGCCGCGUGAAUGAUGAAGGUCUUAGGAUUGUAAAAUUCUUUCAGUAGGGACGAUAAUGACGGUACCUACAGAAGAAGCCCCGGCUAACUUCGUGCCAGCAGCCGCGGUAAUACGAAGGGGGCUAGCGUUGCUCGGAAUUACUGGGCGUAAAGGGAGCGUAGGCGGGUUAUCAAGUUGGAGGUGAAAGCCCAGGGCUCAACCUUGGAAUUGCCUUCAAAACUGAUAGCCUAGAGUAUGAUAGAGGUAUGUGGAACUCCGAGUGUAGAGGUGAAAUUCGUAGAUAUUCGGAAGAACACCAGUGGCGAAGGCGACAUACUGGGUCAUGACUGACGCUGAGGCUCGAAAGCGUGGGGAGCAAACAGGAUUAGAUACCCUGGUAGUCCACGCUGUAAACGAUGAUUGNUAGUGUCGACGGCGUGCGUCGGUGUCGCNGCUACGCAUAGACACUCCGCCGUCGGGAGGUACGGUCGCGAGAUAAACUACAAGAAGUAGACGCGNGAGAGNGCCGACGGACGACGACGAGGGAGGUAGG